AACGUACGCUGGCGGCACGCCUAACACAUGCAAGUCGAACGAAGUAGCAAUACUUAGUGGCAGACGGGUGAGUAACAUGUAGGUAUCUGCCCUUUGGCCUGGAAUAACACGAGGAAACUUGUGCUAAUACCGGAUAAGUCUUUACGGAGAAAGCUUUAUGCGCCAUUGGAUGAGCCUGCACUUGAUUAGUUUGUUGGUGGGGUAAUGGCCUACCAAGACUGUGAUCAAUAGCUGAUUUGAGAGGAUGAUCAGCCACAUUGGGACUGAGACACGGCCCAAACUCCUACGGGAGGCAGCAGUGGGGAAUCUUGCACAAUGGAGGAAACUCUGAUGCAGCGAUGCCGCGUGAGUGAAGAAGGCCCUUGGGUUGUAAAGCUCUUUCGUCGGGGAAGAAAAUGACUGUACCCGAAUAAGAAGGUCCGGCUAACUUCGUGCCAGCAGCCGCGGUAAUACGAAGGGACCUAGCGUAGUUCGGAAUUACUGGGCUUAAAGAGUUCGUAGGUGGUUGAAAAAGUUAGUGGUAAAAUCCCAGAGCUUAACUCUGGAACUGCCAUUAAAACUUUUCAGCUAGAGUAUGAUAGAGGAAAGCAGAAUUUCUAGUGUAGAGGUGAAAUUCGUAGAUAUUAGAAAGAAUACCAAUUGCGAAGGCAGCUUUCUGGAUCAUUACUGACACUGAGGAACGAAAGCAUGGGUAGCGAAGAGGAUUAGAUACCCUCGUAGUCCAUGCCGUAAACGAUGUGUGUUAGACGUUGGAAAUUUAUUUUCAGUGUCGCAGGGAAACCGAUAAACACACCGCCUGGGGAGUACGACCGCAAGGUUAAAACUCAAAUGAAUUGACGGGGACCCGCACAAGUAGUGGAGCAUGUGGUUUAAUUCGAAGAUACGCGCAGAACCUUACCAACACUUGACAUGUUCGUCGCGACUCUAAGAGAUUAGAGUUUUCGGUUCGGCCGGACGAAACACAGGUGCUGCAUGGCUGUCGUCAGCUCGUGUCGUGAGAUGUUGGGUUAAGUCCCGCAACGAGCGCAACCCUCACUUUUAGUUGCCAUCAUUAAGUUGGGCACUCUGAAAGAACUGCCAGUGAUAAGCUGGAGGAAGGUGGGGAUGACGUCAAGUCCUCAUGGCCCUUACGUGUUGGGCUACACACGUGCUACAAUGGUAUCUACAACAGGAAGCAAGACUGCGAAGUUAAGCAAAUCCCUAAAAGAUACCUCAGUUCGGAUUGCACUCUGCAACUCGAGUGCAUGAAGCUGGAAUUACUAGUAAUCGUGGAUCAGCGUGCCACGGUGAAUGCGUUCCCGGGUCU
rnacentral:rRNA from 1 species